CAACGUGGGCAUCCGGAGAAGUCGCUCUCUCCAGGCUCUGCCCGUGUGGCGCAUGGGAGCGUAGGCCCCCGGGCCCGUGACGUAUGGUCCCGUUCCACGCCGUUGGAGAACAAGCCGGGCCUCGAGCCUGCAGCCUGCAUAUUCCUACUGCUUCUCUGAGCCCUUGGGCAUUGACAGAGGAGAUAAACCAUGCAGGAAACAAACCCCAUGCUCUGCAUGGCCUGGGGGGUGCAUGGCAGGGGGAGAAGGGGGAACACGUGAACAAACACGUCAGAUGCAUUUUCUCUUUGUUUCCAGUUCUAAACUGAAGAAGUUGGAGAGCGAAGCACUGCUUUAGGAGGUGCUGCUGAUGCUGCCCCGUCCUGCUCUACGUAGCUCCGGACGUGAGUACCUGCUGUGCUGUGUGCCUGGGGAGCAGGGCAGGGCUGGGGCUGGGGCUGAAGGUGUGGGUCAGCUCACUCCAACGUGGGCAUCCGGAGAAGUCGCUCUCUCCAGGCUCUGCCCGUGUGGCGCAUGGGAGCGUAGGCCCCCGGGCCCGUGACGUAUGGUCCCGUUCCACGCCGUUGGAGAACAAGCCGGGCCUCGAGCCUGCAGCCUGCAUAUUCCUACU